rnacentral:rRNA from 1 species
AAGGCUGAGGCGUGAUGACGAGGCACUACGGUGCUGAAGCAACAAAUGCCCUGCUUCCAGGAAAAGCCUCUAAGCAUCAGGUAACAUCAAAUCGUACCCCAAACCGACACAGGUGGUCAGGUAGAGAAUACCAAGGCGCUUGAGAGAACUCGGGUGAAGGAACUAGGCAAAAUGGUGCCGUAACUUCGGGAGAAGGCACGCUGAUAUGUAGGUGAAGCGACUUGCUCGUGGAGCUGAAAUCAGUCGAAGAUACCAGCUGGCUGCAACUGUUUAUUAAAAACACAGCACUGUGCAAACACGAAAGUGGACGUAUACGGUGUGACGCCUGCCCGGUGCCGGAAGGUUAAUUGAUGGGGUCAGCGCAAGCGAAGCUCUUGAUCGAAGCCCCGGUAAACGGCGGCCGUAACUAUAACGGUCCUAAGGUAGCGAAAUUCCUUGUCGGGUAAGUUCCGACCUGCACGAAUGGCGUAAUGAUGGCCAGGCUGUCUCCACCCGAGACUCAGUGAAAUUGAACUCGCUGUGAAGAUGCAGUGUACCCGCGGCAAGACGGAAAGACCCCGUGAACCUUUACUAUAGCUUGACACUGAACAUUGAGCCUUGAUGUGUAGGAUAGGUGGGAGGCUUUGAAGUGUGGACGCCAGUCUGCAUGGAGCCGACCUUGAAAUACCACCCUUUAAUGUUUGAUGUUCUAACGUUGACCCGUGAUCCGGGUUGCGGACAGUGUCUGGUGGGUAGUUUGACUGGGGCGGUCUCCUCCUAAAGAGUAACGGAGGAGCACGAAGGUUGGCUAAUCCUGGUCGGACAUCAGGAGGUUAGUGCAAUGGCAUAAGCCAGCUUGACUGCGAGCGUGACGGCGCGAGCAGGUGCGAAAGCAGGUCAUAGUGAUCCGGUGGUUCUGAAUGGAAGGGCCAUCGCUCAACGGAUAAAAGGUACUCCGGGGAUAACAGGCUGAUACCGCCCAAGAGUUCAUAUCGACGGCGGUGUUUGGCACCUCGAUGUCGGCUCAUCACAUCCUGGGGCUGAAGUAGGUCCCAAGGGUAUGGCUGUUCGCCAUUUAAAGUGGUACGCGAGCUGGGUUUAGAACGUCGUGAGACAGUUCGGUCCCUAUCUGCCGUGGGCGCUGGAGAACUGAGGGGGGCUGCUCCUAGUACGAGAGGACCGGAGUGGACGCAUCACUGGUGUUCGGGUUGUCAUGCCAAUGGCACUGCCCGGUAGCUAAAUGCGGAAGAGAUAAGUGCUGAAAGCAUCUAAGCACGAAACUUGCCCCGAGAUGAGUUCUCCCUGACUCCUUGAGAGUCCUGAAGGAACGUUGAAGACGACGACGUUGAUAGGCCGGGUGUGUAAGCGCAGCGAUGCGUUGAGCUAACCGGUACUAAUGAACCGUGAGGCUUAACCUU